CCGGACUUGGUUUUCUAUGACUCUGCCCAUUGGAUACCGGAAAUUGCUAAACCGAUCGGUGCUAAAACCGUUUGCUUCAACAUCGUUAGCGCUGCGUCAAUCGCACUGUCUCUUGUCCCUGCUGCGGAGAGAAAAAUCAGGACAAGAUAAAAACUUGAUUUAUUCAACUAAUCCACUAAUUACUCACCAAAUAUGAUCAAUAUCUUAAUUCAUCUAACCAUCCUCUAGAUGAAUCAAUCAACUUUUUAUAUGGGUAAAUGAUGAUAUCCUUUUAGGUAUGUAGAAACUUUCUUUUGUUCUGUGCUGAUUUUUUUAAAAAUAAGGGCCAGGCUGAUCCGUGUAUGUCAUAAAAUCAAAUUCUGCCUGCAGGAGACCAACCUAAUCAGCCCUCCUU